rnacentral:rRNA from 1 species
UACGUAGGGGGCAAGCGUUGUCCGGAUUUAUUGGGCGUAAAGAGCGUGUAGGCGGCCAUACAGGUCCGUUGUGAAAACUGGAGGCUUAACCUCCAGACGUCGAUGGAAACCGUAUGGCUAGAGUCCGGAAGAGGAGAGUGGAAUUCCUGGUGUAGCGGUGAAAUGCGCAGAUAUCAGGAGGAACACCGGUGGCGAAGGCGGUUCUCUGGGCAUGAUCUGACGCUGAGGAGCGAAAGUGUGGGGAGCGAACAGG